GACAGAGGGGGCAAGCGUUGCUCGGAAUCACUGGGCGUAAAGGGCGCGUAGGCGGGAUGGCAAGUCGGUCGUGAAAUCUCUCGGCUCAACCGAGAAACGUCGGCCGAUACUGCUGUUCUUGAGGGAUGCAGAGGAGACUGGAAUUCCCGGUGUAGCGGUGAAAUGUGUAGAGAUCGGGAGGAACACCGAUGGCGAAGGCAGCCUUCUGGGCCAAUACUGACGCUCAUGCACGAAAGCGUGGGGAGCAAACAGG
rnacentral:rRNA from 1 species